UCUCUCUCUCUUUCUUUCUCUCUCUCUCUCUCUUUCUCUCGUUUUCUCAUUCUCUCUCUCUCUCUCUCUUUCUCUCUCACUCUUUCUCUCUUUCUCUUUCUCGCGUACUCUUUUGCUCCUCGAACGGAGCGCGAGUCGGAGGAAGAGAGGCGCACAGGAUGGCGGGGCGAGAGUCGGCUUACUACGCGGCGAAACGCCUCGACGGCGUUCAGUCGUCAGCGAUCAGACCGCCGGGCAGUGCGGACCCACUCUUCCGAACAGUCACUCACUCUCUCUCCUACUCUCCUCUCUUUAUCUCGUAUACAUUAUACCCUGCAACUCCUACGUACCUGUCCAACUCAUAUUCGCGAUGUAUACAUAUAUAUAUGUAUGUAUAUAUAUAUAUACAUAUAUGUAUAUAUAUAUGUAUAUAUAUAUGUAUAUAUAUGUAUAUAUAUAUAUACACACGUCUACCAAAGGACUUCUCGACUAUACUGGAAUAUUUAUUUCUACGAUCUUGGAAUAGUUUUCGAAGAAUCAAUCCACUCUUCCUUUCCUUCAAUUCCAAUUUCGAAUUUCUGGAAUUUCGAAAUCGCCGUCCGUGGACUCGGUAACGAGAAGAAUACGUUCGUAAUACGUGACUCGAUAUUAAUCGAGAAAAAGAGAGAUAGAGAGAGAGAGAGAGAGAAAAAGAGAGAGAGACAGAGAGACAGAGAGAGAGAAAGAGAGAGAGAGAGAGAAAGAGAGGGAGAUAGAGAGAGAAGAAUCCGAGAAUCGAACACGUUUUGGGAGAUCGUCGAAAAUCGUAAACGAACACGAAUUCGAACGAGGGAUGGAUGGAUUCACUCGGCCAAUUUAUUCGAGGAAAGAUAAAGUGAACGUCCUCCUACGAGUAAAACGAAGACACAUCAUCGAGACGAGAAAAAUGGAAUCAUCUAACAACGUCGGAAGAUCUUGUAAAUGACGGAAGAGGAUAGAUAGUGUACGAUUUUAUACGACGAAAGUUAUUAUUUUUUUUUUAGUUCUCUUCUUUUUUUCCUUUCUUUCUUUCGUUCUUUUUUUUUUCUUUGUUCCUUGUUUUUUCUUCUCUCUCUCAUUCUCUUUUUCUUUUUUUUUUUUGUUUUUUUGUUUUUUUUUUUUUUUUGACAAUUUUACUUUUCGCCGUGAUAUAAACGAAAUCGAGGAGAAUUUUAAUCGCGAGCAACGGAACAACGGGGGUGUUUUAGACAGGGCCCAAGUGAGAAGGAAUUUGUAACGAGUCGAGAAGUUUGUGCGACUUUUACGUGCCGCGUAAGCACGUGGGUAUUCGAAUUCACGGAGAAACAAACAACUACACAACACACUUUCUUGUCAAUGAACGAGGACGAUAGAGAGACUUCGAUCGUAACGAAGAUUAAACACGACUCAAAAGCAAGCAAGCAAGCAAGCAAGAAAGCAAGAAAGAAAGAAAGAAAGAAAGAGAGAAAGAAAGAGAGAAAUGAGAAAGAAAGAAAAGAAAAAAGAAAAACAAUCGCACGAGAGAAGAAAGGGCGGGGUGAGUCGAAUCGGUUUUUAUACAACGACUCAUUUUUUCAUGUGCGGAUAACGAAGAAGGAAACAGUGUUACGAAGAUAAAAGUAAAAACGUAUUUAAUGUGCGGUAUGAUAAUAUCGUAACAGUGUGGGAGAAAGCUGCACGACGAUAUUUUCUCGAAGGAAAAUUUCAUAAUCGGGCGUAUUUUAUUGUCGAGCAAGGAAAAUGUAUGCGCGGACGCGUUAUCCGCCGACGGAUGGACGAUGAUUCGAGGACGAUCGAGAAUGCGACUUGCGAGACACGGCCAAGCUCGCGGAGAGGAAUAAUACGCGCGUCUCUUCGCGUGCGGACGGUAAGAAUAGUUUGAUCGUUAAAUUUCAAAGGGGGAUGCCGAGUUACUUUACGAUUUAUGACGCAUUCAUCGCUUUUAUAGUAAGAAUACUAUCCUAUGUGAAUUUGAUCGAAAGAUGAGAGUUAAAAGUGUAAUCGGCAAAAGUCGAAUAAUCAACGAAGAAGAUACGAAAAAGUGAAUGAGUGAGUGAGUGAGUGAGAGAGAGAGAGAGAGAGAGAGAGAGAGAAAGUGAGAGAGAGAGAGAGAGUAUAGGAGCCAAACGAUACGGCCCUGGUCUCUCGGUGGUUGAUAGGGUAUAAUCAUGCCGAGUUUCAUAUCUCGAAGGGGCCACGGGAAGAUGGUCCAACAUCUGCCGCUGCAGGGAAUCUCUGCCCACAUGCUGGCCAGCAUACGGACGCACACGUACGCGUUCGCGUACAAGCGCAAAAAGUGACGUAGGUACACGGUGGGACGUCAUGUAAAUUCAUUCGAAACACAUGGCAGGACCCGAGAGCGCGCGGCGUUUCUCUUCUCUGCAAAAGGCUUUCGAGAAAAGGAAUCUCGAAGAUGGCAGAAAAAGAGACCAUAACUUUGACUUCGACUUUGGUACUCCGGCUAUUUCAGGCCGUGUCACGGAUCAAAUAAAUCCCUAUCCUAGUAGAGUUCCUUCCUCCCUUUUGUAUUUUCUUUUCGAGCGGUCUUCCUUUGAAACGAUCGAUAUUAGUUAAAUAUAUCUAAAUAAUUUGAAAUUAAUAUAAAAAGAUGUCAAAUCUUGACAAAAGGUCCUUUCUUUCUUUUUUUCUUUUUUUUCUCAUUUUCUUUUUCUUCCCAACAAUGUAUCAAUUUUUACAUUCGAUAUAAAAAUUAAUAGCGAGAGCUUGAUAGCAACGCACGAUAUUUCGCCAUUGAAACGUUAAUGACGCCGGAGGGACGUUGAAAAAUGAGGCUCGGGGAGAAGCGGAGUAGGAGAAGUAAGUGGUAUGGAGGCCGAGGGGGUGGACGGGCUCGACCGAGAAAAGAGAUACGCUCGCAGCGCGCGCGGAAUUGCAGAACUGCCUUUAAUUAAAGUCAUCAAGCUAGUUGAACAAUUAUCAUUAAUUAUGGACGUCGCUUGGUCGCUCACACGAGCCAUCGCUGCCGCUAGAGUUGUAUGUACGUAUGUCGGAAACGUUUGACUUUCCUUGCGUGCUGCGGCUUCGUUUCUACGUUAAAGAAAGAAAGAAAGAAAGAAAGAAAGAAAGAAAGAAAGAAAUAAAGAAAGAAAAAGAAAAAGAGGAAAGAGAGAGAGAGAGAGAGAGAGAGAGAGAGAUAAACUGAAACAGAAGGAGAAGAGCCACGAUGGAAAGUCGUAAAAUAUAGAAACUUGAAAGAUUUGAAAAUAACUCGCUUCGUCGAGUUGUCAUUCUCUUUAUAAUUUGAUAAUGAAUUUCCAAAAUCGUUUUUGCUUUCGUUUUUCGUUUCUUUCACUUCUUCUCUUAUUUCUUUUUUUUUUUCCUUUUUCCUUUCUCUUUCACUUCACAUAAAAUUCAUUCGAAAUCGUUUCCAAAAUAAAAUAGUCAGGAUCGUCGACUUUUUGUUAUUCGUUAAAAAGUAAACGAAGCGUACCAUGGUCCCCGUUUUAUCUUUUUCCUUCUUCUUCUUUUUCUUCUUCCUUUAUUAUUAUUUUUUUUUUUUUUUUACUUCUUUGACUUCUUUACUGAUGACCGAAAAAAAAGGGAGACGAAGAAGAUGAUAGCUAGUUCAGUUUGGUUCGCGAUAAAAAACAAGCGGCAGAAAGAAAGAAAAAAGUGUUGCUUCUCUCGGAGCAGCGUCGAUUUCGAAAUCCAGAUGUACUGAAAAGACAGAGAGAGAGAGAGAGAGGAAGAGUGGAUCGUGUGCCACAAUAAAGAUAACGAUUUACGUUCGACUUUAUCGCUGGGUAGCCGGGGCCAAUGACUCGAUGAACGGGGAGAGCUCGUGUCUCGAUUCCAUGAUUUAAGUUCCGUUGUUGCCACCGAUUCGAGCCAAUCGCUUCGUUUUUACUGAUUUGGAUAAAAGAGAGAAAAAGGGAAAGAUGAGUUUCUCGACGAAACGAUAACAAAGUUCUACUAUAAAUUCGUAACAUUAAUUACAUUGUUUUCGAAUUAUAAUGUUUUCAUAUCGCACUAUUUUCUUCGAUGAACGAAGAACACGUGAAGAUUAAAAUAUUUCUUUUCUUCCUUGGCAUGCUCGUUUUCUUUGAAAUUAUCGAUAACUAUAGUUUAGGUUUAUAGACAUAUGUGCAUGUACAUAUGUAAGAACAAUGUUUUAUUUUAUGGUAAACACACGACCUACCUUAAAUACGAUGUAAUACGUUUACGUUUCCCCUUUUCGAUCCCUACAAUUUUACUUCUCUCUUUCCCCUUUCUUUUUCUUCUUUUUCUUUUUUUCUUUCUAACGAGACAAUGACGUUAAUAACGAUAAUGAUCCUGUUAAGAGUUCUUAGGGGGCUUAUUCUUAUGUAAAAAGAAAAAAAAAAGAAAAAGAAAAGAAAAAAGGGAAAAAAUAAUAAAAAAAAAAAAAAAAAGAAAAAAAAAUAAAGAAAAGAAAAUUUAAGACCGGGACGAGUUUACGACUGCGAAUACCGGUAGAACAGGCCGUAUUUCUUCGCGAAAUUUAACGAACCUUCGCGCAAUGGGACACCAUUAAAAAAUUCCGGAGCGUCAUGUAGCACGGCGCACGCAAUAGCGAUAAAUGCCGAGGGAGGAAGAGAGAGAAAGAGAGAAAGAGAGAGAGAGAGAGAGAGAAAGAGUUGGAUGAGAGAGGGCAGCGGAUUAUGGAAGGCAGAGGAUAAGACUGACGAGAGGUUUAACAUCACGCAAACUUAAGUAAAAACAUUAUCGAUCGGCUAACGCGAUGCGCUCGCGCUGCGUUAAGUUCGUAUCGUAAAUGGCGAUCGUAAAAGAUCGAACGCCAUGGGAAUAAGAUUAUUUCUUAUUUCCGUACGAUUGGAAUACCUAUACCAUAAGUAUAUUUCGAUUCUCGAUAAUUUCUUAUAUUGCGUGAUUAUUAUCAAUGUUUACGACAUUAUAAAUUGUAUCGUUCGAGAAAAAUGUUGGAAUUUUUUCAAUUCCUCCCUUUGCUUCCGAGUAAAAACUUCACCUAAGGAGCGAUAAAUUUUAAUUGUUCUGACCUCUGAUAAUUUUUCCUGGAAGGAUAUAAUUUCGAAUAAACGUAAUGGUCGAUCGAAAAAAUAUUUCACAAUGGCGUACCAAGGAUUAAAGAGAUACAGAAACUUAUAUUACGAGGGAUUAGAAAAACGUCAUUGUGAUUAUCCAUAGCAAAAAGAAGAUGGAGCUUAAAUAAACGUUCAAAUAAUUGAUCGUAUUUAAAAUGAAAUUUUUCUAUUAAAAGAAAAAAAAAAAAAAACU